CUAACUAAGGGCUCAAUGGACGCUCGAAGCGAAGCGUUCGGCGGGGCGUGCAGUGUGGCGUCGGGCUCUCAAGUGAUUUGAGCAGCGUGCACUAAGGCCGCUCCUAUAAGUUUGCAUUUAUUUAACAUGCACGCCGCGCCCUGCUGCACGCCCAACUUGAGCAUCCACUCAGGCUUUAGACUUAGAGCUGGCGGCCUAACCGUAAUUUGAUAGAAAACGCCAAUCGGAGCUUAAAUAAUGUAUGUAUAUAGUCACGUGGCUUUUUGUAGUAUUUAUCAUCCCGAUUAUUUUUUUUCAAGUCGUUUGGCGUUUGUCGAAGUAAUAUCGUCAUCUACCAGGCGCCCUGGUAUCCUAACAUUAUUUUUUUGUGUCGAGCCCCCUUCAUGACAAUCAAACGAAUAUCUGGUUACCUUUAUUAGUAAAUUUGGGAUCUCUUCUCGUAGGACAGAUGCCGUUGAAGAAAUACGAAUAAUCGGGGAUAUCAGGAGCCAUAAUUUAAAACGUGCCGAAGGCGACCGCGAGUCUCAAGUGUCGAUUUUAUCUUUAGGGAAGUGUAUAGGUAGAUAAAAUGAUACUCGUUUGUAAUGACAUAACGGUGCAGGCAGAUGUUAAUUAAAGAUACCUCAUUAGUUAUAGGUAUUCCUUACCUUCACGACGCUGCUGUCCUUUGAACCAAGAUUCCGGAUUGGGAUAAAGGAUAGGGAAUAAAUUAAGUUCCAAGAAAUGCAAUAAAAAUACAGCGUUUUUGAAAAUUUUGAAAACGUUUUAUUUUAUUGAAUAAAGGGAAGUAUUUGACCACAAUCUCACCUGACGCUAUUAUGGAUUGAGCAUGCUUACCUAAAAGAUGUCUAUUUCAAAAUAAGGAGGAAAUAUUGAAAAAUGGAACCCCCUCACUUUGGAUAAACUGAGAACUGAUUAAGGGGUUUGUAAUUAUUAACCACAAAUCCCCCAUUAAUCACCGAUUAAUUUAUGUAACUCCUAAAAUGUUCUUUUUUUGUAGUACACGUGAACAUAAACUGUACAAGGUUAAUAACGAAAAUAAAAUCCUCUCUUUUCUCCUCUUUUUCCCCCUAUUAGUGUAGGUACGAUUCAUGAUAAGUGACAAGAAAUGAUGAUAAUGAUCUAAUUAUAUGACUAAUAAAGUCUCCAAUGAAUGAAAUGCGCCAAAUUUAUCACUUAGGCCAGAAAUGUCACUUAGGAUUCAAAUUAAUUAUCUAUAUUAGUAACAUUAGCAGCGUUUUGAAUGUAACUAAUAUAAACAAAUCAAACCAUGUGAUCAGGUCAUCCUGCUAACCAAAAUACUUAAUGUAAUAGUGAACUGGUCCAAUAGCGACCUGAUUCCUAUUUUUGCAACGUUCGCUAAUAAAAGGAUGAUUCGAUUUCGCAGCAACCGCAGGGAGAAAAAAAAAGGAUAGUUGUAACACAUCGUGACACUUGCAAUCGACACUACAUGCGCUGACGCAACAUGGUCAACAUGGACGCAUAAGUAAAAUAUGCUGAACGACUGCGUUUUUGCACUUGGAAAUUAUGGUAUUAUUCUAACUACAUUAACACACUAUAAAUUAUAUUCAGUAAGUGAGGAUUGCUAUAACUUCACGUUAUAUAUAGGUACUAACAGCAUCAAUCGUGGAAUACGUUCAUACUGAGUAUGACUUUCCUGAAAACCUUAGACAAAAUACCGUACACCCACCUUCAAGGCAGGCAAAGAACUUAAAACUGUUAUAUAAAUGUAUAAUUUGCA